GGUAUUUUGCACAUACGGCUGCCCUAUACUGUUAUCCUCAGUGACUAAGGAAGAGAAUUUGUCAAUAAAGUUACUGAGGCACUCUUUAAAAGAACAAACACACAGCAUAGAAUCACUUCCGCCUAUCAUCCUCAAACUAAUGGCCUCACAGAGCGAUUCAAUCAGACAAUCUGUCGUUCUCUCAGCAAGUUAGUGAAUGAAGCACACAAUGAUUGGGAUACAAAGCUAGAAACUAUUCUGUUUGCAUACCGAGUGUCGAAACACCGAUCAACCGCAGUGGCGGAUCCAGAGGUAGUUCGUUGGGUUCGUACGAACUACCCUUCCACUAAGUUGAUACUUUAUAUUUAAUACACCUGGCUAGCUAGCUAGCUAGCUAGCUUACUAUACUGUCAUGACAAUAGGGUACAAAGUUCUCUCUGCAUAAUGUGAGGGUGGGGCUGGUACUCUCUGCAUAAUAUGAGGGUGGGGCUGGCUAUAUUGACUCAUCCAGCCACAUGGUCCCAGUGAUAAUUGAGCCUGGCCAUGAAUCCUAACAAAAGGCUAGAUUGCAACCCUCCAUUGACUCCUGGAGUAAAGUUUCAGAUGAUGCGUCAAGUCUACAGCCAGUCUCCUCUUCAAGAGAACCACCAGCCACCAUCGUCACUCCUCCAGUCAUCAACGUCUCUCCAGUCACAACCAUCUUUCCUCCAGUCACAACUAUCUCUCCACUGGAACCACCAGCCACCUCCAUCACCCCUCCGUGUUCAUCGAAGCAAGCAACGAGAUCUUCCGCUGAGGAUCAGCCAAUGGACAUUGGUGCUCUCCUGAAAGAGAAGAAAGUGCAAUCACUAUCCCAGAGCAUGAGAAUGGCUUUGCCUUGUGUUCUUUCAGAUAUUAUAGUUGAAGGGGAAUUUGGUUAAUUAAUGGGCGUGGCAUGUAAAAGGGGGCGUGGUCAACCCAAAAAUUUCGGCGCUUCGCGCGGCCAAGAAGUAAGAACCCCCCUUCCUUAAAUCCUGGAUCUGCCCCUGAACCGGCUAUUCGCCAUUCUUCAUGAUGUUUCAUCGUGAAGCUCGGCUGCCUAUAGAAGCAGAUGUAGAGCAAAACGAAACAGUGACCAGUGAAGAUAUAGAUACAGAGACAACUGCAGAUGCUUUUAUUGAGAAAAUGCUCAAGAGGCAAGAAGAUAUAAAGAGCAUAGCUGGUGAAAACAUAAAAAAAUCUCAAAAAAAGCAAAAGGAGUGCUAUGAUAAACGGCAUUCACCAGAGGAACUGCAACCUGGAAUCAAGGUUUUGGUUGAGAACACCCAACAAAAGGAGAGGAAAGGUGGAAAGCUCGAAAACAAGUAUAGUGGACCAUACAUUAUUAAGACCUCAGAUGGAAAGGGUGUCUAUACCCUUAAGGACUUGGAUGGGAAGGUGUUAAAAAAGAAAUGUAAUAUCAAACGUCUCAAGCUCUCAGUGGCCAAACUCCACCGGAUAAAUCCAAUGGCUCUACCCCACCAGAGAAAUCCAAUGGCCCUACCCCACCAGAGAAAUCCAAUGGCCCCACCUCACCAGAAGAUCCAAAUGGCCCCACCCCACCGAAGAAAUCCAAUGGCCCCACCCCACCAGAAGAUCCAAAUGGCCCCACCCCACCGGAGAAAUCCAAUGGCCCCACCCCACCAGAAGAUUCAAAUGGCCCCACCCCACCGGAGAAAUCCGAUGGUCCCACCCCACCAGAAUAUAUGGACAUGGACCUGUGGUGACUCAUUUGCAACCAAUUGAUGAUGUCCCCUUAGAUCGUCCACCACCACCUAAGAGACGAAAGUCUAAUCAGUCUGUACCUAAGAGUCAAAAGAACCAGGUAUGCUGGGAGUCUCUGGAUACCUGACUUAGAUCUACGUUACAGGGAUAGGGCAGUUGUAAAGAGAGGAAAACUAUGUGACAAGCAUAUGUAUGCUGCCCAUGAAGUGCUGAGGUAUCAGUUCCCUCAUCUGCAUGGUCUUCAAUCGACAUUACUUACUCAAAAAGAGUUUAAAGCAAUGCAAUGUCAUGACUCUGUUGUAAGAGCCGUUCAGAUACUAUUUGUUGAGGAAAGAGAGCACUGGGUUGUUUCCAGCCUCACCAAUGGAAAACUGAGACUAUACGACAGCUGUUCAACUGGAGAAUUAACCUCAAGUCUUCAAGUACAGCUAGCUCAAAUAUACGGCAAUCAAUUUGCGGUAAACAACAAACUCAAAGUUUACAUUGAGCCUGUACAGAAGCAAGAAGGAGAAAUGGACUGUGGUGUUUUCAGCAUUGCAAAUGCAUACAAUGCUGCACAGGCGAAGAGUACGAAAGAUGUAACGUAUGACUCACAACAAAUGCGUUCACACAUUCAGCACUGUUUUGAAGCUAAAACGUUCAGCACUUUUCCUCAAUCUAAAAAUUCGGCAGCAAUCAACAGAUGUGAUCCCAAACAGAUAAUCAUCGAGCUGUACUGCACUUGUGGUCUUCCAGAGACAUAUGAUAGCCGAAUGAUCGAGUGUACAAAAUGCCAAAAGUGGUUUCACUUUAAAUGCAUGAACAUCAAGGUCAGGCCAAGAGGAUGGCUGUGUAUAACAUGUAGAUCUAAUUCAUGUUAACUGUAUCACCAAAUGUUAAAUUGUUAUUAAAUAGCUAGCUAGCAAGCUAUAUUAUAGACAUUGAAUAUUAUUGUUUUGCCAUUAUUAUACGUAGACCAUUACUUGUUUUUGCCAUUGAUUCUCGACUCAACCUCCAUUACUUCUAAUACGUA